UACGUAGGGCGCAAGCGUUAUCCGGAAUUAUUGGGCGUAAAGAGCUCGUAGGCGGCUUGUCGCGUCGACUGUGAAAACCCGCGGCUCAACUGCGGGCCUGCAGCCGAUACGGGCAGGCUAGAGUUCGGUAGGGGAGACUGGAAUUCCUGGUGUAGCGGUGAAAUGCGCAGAUAUCAGGAGGAACACCGGCGGCGAAGGCGGCGUCCUGGACCUGGCCUGACGCUCAGGAGCGAAAGCGUGGGGAGCGAGCCGG
rnacentral:rRNA from 1 species